UGCAACCUGCUGCAGGAAAGGCUGCUGGGAUCUUAGGCCCUCCCUUCUGUUGCAGACUUCAGAGACAUACAAGGAAAAUCAUGUGAAGAGUUUGCAGAGCCUGAGCAAGGAGAGUUCGGACCCAAGAGCAAGAGCUGGGAUUUCAAAGGCAGCACAGGCAUGGUAGAACAACCUUCUGACAGAGUGCAACACAUGGGUGGGACUCCUCUCUGCAGCACAGGGUCCAAGAACAUCCACAGCUCCUCUCAGAAAAGUAGCAUGCGCUGGUUGUUAAUCCUGUUUCAGGGUACACAAAGAUCUGCGGGGGUUGGAGUCUUUCUUCUUCCACAGACCGAAAACAUUGCUGGACUUGUCAGCUGGAUCUUGAAUGGGAGAUAUCCCACAGGCAGCUGCUGUGUAGUCCUCAGAGCUGAGAUAAAGCCAAGGGGUGGAGGAGGCUGGGGCACACCCUGCCCAGCCAGCCCAUCCCUGAAUGGAGCCUGGAUCCACCCACUUGGAGAGACCCUGCCUACAGCCGGGGUGCAGACACAGGAAGGAGGGAGGAAGAGAGAGCUCGGCCAGCAAGAUCCAGCCCCACACAUGGCACUGCCCCCCCUGAAAUGUGGCCACCUUUGGGCUGGGGGGAAAGUGGCUGCAGUGCCAUUUCAGGGGUCUCCUCGCUUCAGCCCAUGAAUUUGGAAAAAGGGCACAAAGGCUCUGCCAGCCUGUGUCACUUUGGGCCGGCUUCAGGCAGGGCGUGACGGGCAGAGGAAGGCUUUGGUCAGGCCGAAAGCCUGUAGCAGGGCCGUUGGCAUAGGCAGUCACCCUGUCCCAAUGCCCUGGAAGGUAUCUGCAAUGCCCUGGGAAAGGGAAUCCUCCAUCCCAGGACAUUGAGGCUGAAACUGGUUCCUUAUUCCGUUUCUUAUUCUUGGUCCUUUUU
rnacentral:lncRNA from 1 species